rnacentral:misc_RNA from 1 species
UUUAGCGUCAUAUCGCCGCAACGUCGUAGCGUCAAUGAAAACUGAUUGACGUUAACGUCUGGCGUCAAAACGGAAUAACCUUUCAUCAAGUUGUUCUUAAAAGUAAUAACGUGUCUAAGUUAACAGAUCUUAAUUUCAUUAAAAAAAUGUUAUGUAAUCAACGAUACUACGAAUGGCAAAGAGAAUGCUUAAAAAUAAUAAAUUUAAAAAGACGAUUAAAGAAAAAGAAACGUCAAAUGAUUUGUAUAGCAGUGAUUCAUGAAUUGGAAAAAAUGGAGAAAAGACAAUAUACCAAAAAACGUUAUUGGGUUGCACCAUUAUUUAAAAAUAGAAAAAUGCAUGGUUUUUACCAUGCAAUAUUUCCUAAUAUUAUUUUGGAAGACAGCACAUUUAGAAAUUAUUUUAGAAUGACUGCUAUACAGUUAGAAGAAUUGCUACAAAUAGUAGGACCUUCUUUGAGUAAACAGAUAACUUCCUUUCGUGAGCCAAUAUCCGCUCCUGAACGUUUGUGUUUAACAUUAAGAUAUUUAGCUGCUGGUGAUUCUAUGAAAUCAAUAUCAUAUCAAUUCAUAUCAUACCAAUCUAAUUGGUGUAACAACGGUUUCUAACAUUAUUAGCGAUACAUGUAAUGUCAUUUGGAAUUGUAUUCACGAGGAAGUCCUUCCAUCUACUUUGAGUCAAGGAGAUUGGUUACGCAUAGCAGAUGAAUUUGAGGAAAAAUGGAACUUCCCUCAUUGCAUAGCUGUUUAGAGAUUUUGCGCCGGGCGCCGCGGGUGUAGUUCGGAAAGUGCGAAGUGCGAGGUUCGUUCACGGGUGAUAUAGGUGAUUAUUAGCGACAAGUGCAAUAAACAUCAAUCAAGUAAUUUUAUUUUAAGUGCGCAACGAAGCAAGGAACACAAAAAUGGAUAAGUACCAAUUUAUCAUUGCGGAAUUUCAUGACGGGUUACAAGUUAUACCGUCAGAAUGCAACGCCGAUAAAUUAUCAUGUAUAUGGCCUAAUCAUAUGAAAACUAAAUAUCGCAUUAACAAGGCCAUAUUGGCAAGAGAGAUGCCUCGAGAAAAAUCUGAUUGAGAAGAGUUACCAAUAAAAAGAAUUUUUGGUGGAGCAAAUACUUAUGAAGAAAGUUUACAAAAAUUAAGUCUAGCGCAAGACACGUCAAAUAUAGAUGACACUGGGAUGUCUUCAAAUGAUUUAAGGGAACAAAAUAAAAAGCAAAGACGUAUAAAAGCAAAGAAAAAAAUAUUAUCAUCUUCUUCUUCAGAAGAAGAUAUCUAUUUAAAAAAUAAAGAAAAUAAAAUAAAUAUAAUACAACAUAAAAUCUUGCCUCCUUUUCCUGACAGAGGCAAUUUUGUUAAUAAAGUAAUUGAGCCUAUACAAAACAUUACAAAUAUUUUACGUGAAAAAAAUAUUAUUAUUCCUACAAACAGUAAUGAUAGAAAUAACAAGCAAAUUGCUACGAAUAAUAUAAAGAUUCUUCAAGAUUCUUCUGAAAAUACUGAGAAAGAUUUGUCUGCUUAUGAGUUCAAGAAACAGAUUAUAGGAAAAUUGAACAAAAUAUUAUAUAAAUUAGACGGUAUAGAAAUCAAAAUUAAUAUGCUAGAGGAGAAAAUGCAAUUUUCCUGUCAUUCUUAUGAUGGUCAAGAUGAAUGUGAUAUUCAUUUCCCGAUUUCUACACUUACUGAAUUAAUAUCCUUUGAAGAUCAAUUACAGGAAAUCGAAUUUAAAGAUAAAGUUCUUAAUGUUUUAAAACUUGUUGGUAGAGUUGAUGGACAUGCCAUGAUACGAAAUAUUAUGAAAAAAGUAAUAACAGACACUUUAGCUCAAAAUUUCAACUGGACAGGAAAAAAAAAUAAGCGUAGCUUCAAAGAUUAGUAACUUUAAAUCUUUCUAAAAUGAUUAUACAAUACACAUCUAAAUGGCUGUCUCAAGCUACUGUAAGAGUUCAAAGAGAUGAAAAGAAACAUAUUCAGGAAGAAAAAUAAAAACUAGAAGAACAGGAAGAACUAAAAAACAGGAAGAAAAAAAUUAGAAGAGAAC